AUCUUUGUGUAGUGGCAGUAUCAUAUUCCAUGAGGCUUAUCCAAGGCCUGAUUAUUGCUAAUUGACAACUUUACCUGAUACCAUGCCUUGGUGACUUGAAUCAUAAUCAGCUAUGGCAACUUUUGGUAGUUUCCAGUGAGA